GCCAAUCAGAAGAUGAGUGGAUUGGCGCUGAUUAGAGAUUGGAGACAUGUGCCCUCUAUGUUAGCUUUGGGAAAGGGAACUUCCAAACACCAAGGUCCAAAAGAUGAGUGGAUUGGUGCUGAUUAGAGAUUGGAGACAUGUGCCCUCUAUGUUAGCUUUGGGAAAGGGAACUUCCAAACACCAAGGUCCAAUCCGGACAAAAGACAGCCCAGAGCCAGAGUCAACAAAAAAAGUGCCAGCAGUGGACAGCCGAAUACAAUAUCAGAGGCCUUUCGCAUUCCCAGGAUGUGAACUUGCAUUGCUACCUUUUCAGACCUCAUACUUCAGAUAUUUAAGAUGGUAACAUGAGAAUACAAACACCAAACUCUUCUAAUCUCUAUAUCUUCCAUUUAGUUUUUUAAAAGAGCCCUAUUACCUCCUAAAAUCACUUUUCAAAUGAAUCAUUUUAUACACCUACUAAGAAGCAACACAUAUAUCAUUUACAUAUAUAUAUCUCCCAAAAUAUAUAUUCUGAUUAAAAUUACACCACGAUAUCAUCUUAUUAACUUUAUACCCAAAUCAUUCUGUACAAAAUAAUUUAUUUAUUCUUACAGAUCAAAUUACAAUAUUGCUUCAAGAGAAGAAAAAAAAAACCUUACUAUAAGGAAUAAUUGCUCAUAACAGAAUAGCACUUGUACAUAUAAAACAGUUUCUUAGUCUUCAAACUCUUCAGUCGUCAAGCUCUAGUCAUGGAGAUAAUAGAUAUAUCCAUUCUUAGAACAACUAGAUUGCUUCAAGGAAAAUUCCCACUACCCAGCUCUUUAGUUAAUAUUUUCCUUUAAAAAUACAGAAAAAAUAUGAACUAUCCAUAGAUUGAACUAUACAAAGAAGAAAUACAUUGAAGAAUAAUGGCUAAUUCAGAUAUUCCAUAAA